rnacentral:rRNA from 1 species
UAGGGAAUAUUGCUUAAUGGGCGAAAGCCUGAAGCAGCAACGCCGCGUGCGCGAUGAAGGCCUUCGGGUUGUAAAGCGCUUUUUGAGGGGAUGAGGAAGGACAGUACCCUCAGAAUAAGCCUCGGCUAACUACGUGCCAGCAGCCGCGGUAAAACGUAGGAGGCAAGCGUUAUCCGGAUUUACUGGGCGUAAAGCGCGUGCAGGUGGUUCGGAAAGUUGGAUGUGAAAGCUCCUGGCUUAACCGGGAGAGGUCAUUCAAUACUUCCGGGCUUGAGUGCGGGAGAGGGAGGUGGAAUUCCGGGUGUAGUGGUGAAAUGCGUAGAUAUCCGGAGGAACACCAGUGGCGAAAAGCGGCCUCCUGGUCCGCUACUGACACUUAGACGCGAAAAGCUAGGGGUAGCAAAACGGGAUUAGAGACCCCCGGGUAGUCCUAGCCGUAAAACGAUGUGAACUUGGCGUUGGUGGGUUCAAAAUCCAUCAGUGCCGCAGCUAACGCGAUAAGUUCACCGCCUGGGGGACUACGAUCGCAAGGUUAAAACUCAAAGGAAUUGAC